rnacentral:rRNA from 1 species
CAGGGAUUGCCUUAGUAACGGCGAGUGAAGCGGCAAUAGCUCAAAUUUGAAAUCUGGCGCUUGCGUCCGAGUUGUAAUUUGUAGAGGAUGAUUUUGGUUAGGUACCUUUCGAGUUCCUUGGAACAGGACGCCUUAGAGGGUGAGAGCCCCGUACGAUUGGAUGCCGAGCCUCUGUAAAUCUCCGUCGACGAGUCGAGUAGUUUGGGAAUGCUGCUCUAAAUGGGAGGUAAAUUUCUUCUAAAGCUAAAUACCGGCCAGAGACCGAUAGCGCACAAGUAGAGUGAUCGAAAGAUGAAAAGCACUUUGAAAAGAGGGUUAAAUAGCACGUGAAAUUGUUGAAAGGGAAGGAUUUAUGACCAGACUUUUUCUAGGAGGAUCAUCCGGUGUUCUCACCGGUGCACUUCUUCUAGUCUAGGCCAGCAUCGACUUUCGGCGGCGGAUAAAAGCUUCAGGAAUGUAGCUCCCCACGGGGAGUGUUAUAGCCUGUUGUAUAAUACGCUGCUGGGGGUCGAGGUACGCGCUUCUGCAAGGAUGCUGGCGUAAUGGUUAUCAAUCACCCGUCUUGAAACACGGACCAAGGAGUCGAACAUUUAUGCGAGUGUUUGGGUGUUAAACCCUCACGCGUAAUGAAAGUGAACGGAGGUGAGAGCCCUUACGGGUGCAUCAUCGACCGAUCCUGAAGUUUUCGGAUGGAUUUGAGUAAGAGCAUAACUGUUCGGACCCGAAAGAUGGUGAACUAUGCGUGGAUAGGGUGAAGCCAGAGGAAACUCUGGUGGAGGCUCGCAGCGGUUCUGACGUGCAAAUCGAUCGUCAAAUCUGCGCAUGGGG